UACGAAGGGGGCUAGCGUUGUUCGGAAUCACUGGGCGUAAAGCGUAUGCAGGCGGAUCGUUAAGUCGGGGGUGAAAUCCCGAGGCUCAACCUCGGAACUGCCUUCGAUACUGGCGAUCUUGAGUCCGGGAGAGGUGAGUGGAACUCCGAGUGUAGAGGUGAAAUUCGUAGAUAUUCGGAAGAACACCAGUGGCGAAGGCGGCUCACUGGCCCGGUACUGACGCUGAGAUACGAAAGCGUGGGGAGCAAACAGA
rnacentral:rRNA from 1 species